rnacentral:lncRNA from 1 species
GCUCAGGCAAGCUCUGAAGUCCCAACAUGUAUUGCCACAACAACCCCAGUAGAAUCGGUGUGACAAGUUCCACAGAUUGAGGCGGAAACUUCAAAGGAAGGAGACCUCCUGGGACCGGCUGUGGACUCUUCAUGGCAAUUUAUCUGUUCUAUCAUCUUCUCUUCCCUUUCCGUAUUUACAAGAUGUUCCUGAUGGCCUAGGCUGAGAUUUUAAUUCUGGAUCCUCUCCGCAAACGGAGGCUCUCCUCGGCGCCAGCGAUGGUGUGGCAUUUGUUCCGGGUUUCGGCACCAAAUGUCGCGCGCCCAACGUCUCUCCAGCAGGAACGACGUGCGGACACAAGGAUCCUUCUGCAGCAAAGCGUUUAUUGCAUCUUGAAGAGGAGAGACCGAGCCCCAGAAUGGCGCUGCUUAUAUACACCCUAAUGUGGUGUGUCCACGCCUGAUUGGUUGCUUACUCAUGAUCUCAUUAGGCAUGCCCCGGAGUGGGCAAAGACCUGGCACGAAGGGUAUAGUGACCUAUGAUGAUGUACAUGUGCACUUCACUCAGGAAGAGUGGGCUUUGCUGGAUCCUUCUCAGAAGAGUCUCUACAAAGAUGUGAUGCUGGAGACCUACAGGAAUCUCACUGCUAUAGGCUACGUUUGGGAAGACCAUAAUAUUGAAGAACGUUUUCAAAGUUCUAGAAGAUAUGGAAGAAGAACACAUACAGGAGACUAACCCUAUGAAUGUAGACAAUGUGGUAAAGCCUUUCCACAUCACCAUAGUCUCCAAAUACAUUGAAGAACACAUACUGGAGAAGGACCCUGUGAAUGUGACCAAUGU